AUUCUGGCUCAGAUUGAACGCUGGCGGCAGGCCUAACACAUGCAAGUCGAACGGUAACAGGAAGCAGCUUGCUGCUUUGCUGACGAGUGGCGGACGGGUGAGUAAUGUCUGGGAAACUGCCCGAUGGAGGGGGAUAACUACUGGAAACGGUAGCUAAUACCGCAUAAUGUCGCAAGACCAAAGAGGGGGACCUUCGGGCCUCUUGCCAUCGGAUGUGCCCAGAUGGGAUUAGCUUGUUGGUGAGGUAACGGCUCACCAAGGCGACGAUCCCUAGCUGGUCUGAGAGGAUGACCAGCCACACUGGAACUGAGACACGGUCCAGACUCCUACGGGAGGCAGCAGUGGGGAAUGUUGCACAAUGGGCGCAAGCCUGAUGCAGCCAUUGCCGCGUGUAUGAAGAAGGCCUUUGGGUUGUAAAGUACUUUCAGCGGGGAGGAAGGGGUUAAGGUUAAUAACCUUAGCCAUUGACGUUACCCGCAGAAGAAGCACCGGCUAACUCCGUGCCAGCCGCAGC
rnacentral:rRNA from 1 species